rnacentral:rRNA from 1 species
AAAACCUUGAAAGAAAACCCCCGUAAAAAAAAAAACUUUUCGGGGAGGAAAAUUUUUUUUAAUCGGGGAAGAAAAUGACGGUACCUACGAAGAAGCCCCGGCUAACUACGUGCCAGCAGCCGCGGUAAUACGUAGGGGGCGAGCGUUGUCCGGAAUUAUUGGGUGUAAAGGGAGGGUAGGUGGGUUGUUAAGUCAGAUGUGAAAAUCCGGGGCUCAACCCCGGGAAUGCAUUUGAAACUGCCUAUCUUGAGUGCGGGAGAGGGAAGUGGAAUUCCUAGUGUAGCGGUGAAAUGCGUAGAUAUUAGGAGGAACACCAGUGGCGAAGGCGGCUUUCUGGACCGUAACUGACGCUGAGGCACGAAAGCGUGGGGAGCAAACAGGAUUAGAUACCCUGGUAGUCCACGCCGUAAACGAUGGAUACUAGGUGUGGGGGUAUCUGACCCCUUCAGUGCCGCAAGCUAACGCAAUAAGUA